rfam:Leucoagaricus sp. SymC.cos contig32772, whole genome shotgun sequence.
GGCCGCCUGGCGAAAUGGCAUCGCGUCUGACUACGAUUCCAAUCGAAUCAGGAGAUUGCAGGUUCGACCCCUGCGGUGGUCA